AAAUAAAUAAAAUAAUGAUAAGAAAUAAAUAAUAAAUAAAAAUAAGGCAGUAGGUGGCACUCACUUCCCUCUUGUUAGCAGAAAAUUGUUAAGAGUGUUCAGCACUACCUGAUUCUCGUUGAUACACAUGUUUUCAUUGACAAGAGGCACUCUGUCCACAGCCCUAGUCCGGUGUUUCUCAAACGUUUGUAUGUAGAGGAAGAACUUGGGGUGCUUGCUUAUUAAUGCAGACUUCUUAUGGGUUUCGCCCAAGAGAUUCUGAUUCACUAGAAAUAUGUUUUAAACAAGCACUUCCAGGUGAUUCUGUUGUAGGGGACUGUACUUUGAGAAUAUCCCUCUAGUCAAAUGAAAAAUGUAGCUUUAGUGCCAUGUUUUAAGAUGGCAUUAAUUAUAGAUACUAUUUACUGGGACCUCAUUAUUUGACAUGUUCCAUGCUAUAUUUUACAAAUAACUGUCUCAGGGUCACACAGUUUGUGAAUAUUGGAGCUAUGAUUUAAACUCUAGGUUUAAGUACCUGGUUCUGCAUACCUAGCGAAUAUACAGGUAUUUUCUGGGCCUCUGCAGUUACCUUAAUAUGUGGGUAAAAAGGCAAAGAGCUCAGUGGAGUAAGCCACUGAGGUUUAGGGCAGAUUCUGGGUCCUAAGCUAUUAUAGCGUGGAAUCAUGGAAAUAACACUGGAGUGGUGGAAAGGGAACUUUAUUCUAGUCCUGGCAUACUCAUUAACCAGAAGACGACUUUGGGCAGGUCUCCUCCCUCCCUGGCCUCCAUUUCAUUCAUCUAGAAGAUAAGAGGCUCAGUGUUGUCUGUAGACCACCUUCUUCAGAAUCACCUGAAGGAUUUGUUAAAAGAUCCAAAUCCCUGGGCCCUAUCUCAGACUUAGUGAGUCAGGAUCUGGUGUGGGAGACCAGGGGGUUUGCACUUGUAAUGAAUGCCCCAGUGAUGUGUGGCUAGAGAAUCGCUGGGCCAGAGGGUCUCUGGGCUCUCUUUCAGUGCAGAUGCUCCAUGAGUUUUAGCCUUGAGUUUUGACUUCCUCGGGUGUGACUAAAACACGCCAGGUGGUGAUGUGGACUCCGUGACUAUAAAUUACGUAAAUGAGGUUGCUGCUUCAUCAGGCUGUUAAAGCUGUUUUGAAAGAGUUAAGGACAAAACAGAUGUUAGAUUCUAAUGAAGAAAGUUUGCUUGUGAUCUAAGAUUCAGCCUUUACUUGGAGCUGCUUCUGGUUAAAGUGUACUAAUUGCUAACAUGCAGCACUGGGUGCCUAGCACUGUUUUAAGCACUGUGUAUAUAUAUUUUCUCAAUGAAUCUUUCCCAUUAGUGACUGUUGCUAAGUCCGUCUGGUUAGUUUCCGUGGCUGAGAGUGCACUUUCUAACAUAAAUGAACAUUUUGGUCCCCACUUAAAAUUAACUUUACAUGGCUCAGAAACUAAUGUCUUAAUUAUUCUUUAAUGGCAAUAUCUGAAUGCUUGUGAUUUCCUUCUUUCUUUGUCAGAGAAUUAUGAUAGAUUUAAACUUUUUUAGUUGGUGUGUAGCCCAUUCAGGAAGUGCACUGAUCAUAAGUUUAGCUCAAUAAUUGAUCAAGUGGUGAACGUGCCCAGGUAAACAGGUGAAGAAAUAGAAUGUGAUAGCAACCCUGAGUCCCCUUCAUACCCCUUCCCAGUCACUACCCACCUAUCCAAAGGUAACCAUCACCCCGACUGCUACCAUAUGAUAGAUUUUUUUUUUUUAAAGGUUAGCUUUUGUUUUCUUUAACUCAACAUAAUUUAUUGGGCAACCAUUAUAUGCCUGGUGCUGAGGAUACAGACAGUGAAAGAGGAAUCAGCCCUUGCUCCUGGAGCUCACACUCUGCUGGGAAAGGCAGAGUAAUUCAGUAAAUCACUAAUUACAAGUCUUCACUGUGCUGAGUGUUACGAAAGCAGAGGGACAUGGGCCUAUGGGAGCAGACAUCAGGGUGCCCUGGAAAACAGUCAUUGGAUUUUUGGGCAAGUUUAUUUUCUUAAAGAUACAGUGAGGGGAAAGGGUAAAAUGACAAAGGUUAUAUGGAUCAGUAAAGGGUUAUGUUGUCAGAAUGCCGACUUGGGUUUUGUUUUCAACUCUAUAAAUGUUAGGACCACUUCAUCCUUCCAGAAAUAAGAUGUGGGAUGUGUGAUGUGGAUGGGGAAUAUACUGUCUUUGGAGCUGACUCAGAGUUACUGAACUUUAUGAGGCUCCCGCUAACACUGAGGGGAAAGGCAUGCAAAGUGAGUAUACUGCAAACAUUGCAAAAUAAAAGGGAUAUGUUUUUCUAUGUGAUGAAAACGAUUAGAUUUUUUCCAGUCAUUUCAUUUUAGUGCAGAGGUUGUAAUUAUAAUUUUAGUUGAUUAAGAAGAGCUCAAUCACAUGUGUGGGUUUAAAACAGGAAAUGUUUUGGCGUAGGUGAGCUUCCAGAAAGAUUCUAAAGCAGGACAAAACUAUGUAGUUUUGUCUAUGUAGAUGACAUUAUUAACACUUCUAGGAAUAGGCACCUCUUCUUAACCCACUGUCUCUGAUAUAACUGUCUAGGGUCAGCUCUCUAUAUAAGAGAGGUUCUAGCCUUUAUUCUUAAGCAAACCAGCCUACUCUGAGUUAUGUUAGUACAUAACUUAGGAUUUAUCUGUAUGGAAUCACAAAUACAUUGGAUCAAAGAGAAAAUAUUGGGAAAUGAAUCAUACUUGUGCAGUCAAGUAAAAUAUUUUUUGUGUUUGUCCAAUAGGGACUUGAAUGAAUUUUUAUUUUCACUUAUGGCUCAAGGAGACAUAAAAAUUCCACUCUGGAAAGUAAGGGAUGGCAAUAUUAAUAUCACAAAGUGGAAUUUAAGGAAAAGACAUAAAUGAACCUAAAAGCGUUGUUUAAUGCACAUAUGGAGGAAUACAUUCUGCAGUCAAUGUGAAACCAUUUCUAAACCUCCUGAAGGUCAUCGAAAAGUUCCAAGUUUCCAUAGUGGACCCCAGCAUAAGAAACGAUUUAAGUUCAUUUUCUCUGGCCACAGUUCUUGACUCUUUCUAUAUCCAUGCUCUUUGCAGUGUGACUUUGCAGCGCCUCUUAUUAUGAGGUGGAGUCUCUUCUGACCUCUUGAAUUUGGGCUUACUUUGUAAUAGAACGUGGCAGAAGUGACAGUUUGCAGGUUUUCAGCCUUGGCCCUGUUUGCUUCCUCUUUCUUUCUUGGACCUCUGCUUCUCCAUGUAAACAAGCCCAGGCUGAUCUGCUCAAGGAAGAGAGACCACGUGGAAGAGAGAUGUGGGCCCCAGCUUACAGGCAGCCAACCACAAAACACGAGAGAGCCCAGCAGACAUCAGCACAGCUGCAGAUGCAGGAAAAACUGAUGACAGAAGCCUGAAUGAGCCCAGUUACAGAAAGCUGCUAAGCACAUCGCUUCUGUCCUAAUAAUGAGAAAAUGACAGAUAAACUACAAAAUCGUUACUUUUGUUGAGCUCAUGAGAAAGAUGAGGUUGUGAGGCAACCAAGUAACCUCAUUCAGAAGAGAGACAAGCCCCUCUGAGGAGAAAUGGGCUUCACAACUGUCUCCAUUCUGGCAGAGCAUGGGGAGGAGAGGCACGGCCACUAUCCACGUGGGGAGAAGAAAUCAGCUAAAUUGUAACACAAAAUCCAUGUGUGGGUGAGUGUGUAAAUCUGGGAAAGCUGAGGUAGAAGAGGAGUUUCCACUCAGCUACAAACUCUUCCACAGACUUCCACCAGGUGCUCACAAGAAAUAUUGGGAGCAGGGCAGGAGGCUGGCCCUCUUGAGCCCACCUCUGAGGUCCAGGCAGAGGGAGGCAAUCAAUGGAUGUUGGGGACACAAAAUGCCAUUGGCGUCCCUGGAUUUUCCUCCUUUAGGGAUCAAAAGCUCUAAGCUACUGUGGGUAGGGCAGCAAACUCAGUUACCCACAGGGUUCAAAGUGAUCAGUGGAUGUGAGGCCCAAGGCCCUGCCUACUAACCUGGACAAUUUUCCCUGGACAGUAGACUACAACCUCAAGUCUCUGGAGUGGCAGAGCCUAUUACUCCCAGGGCAGACGGACCAAGAUGUGUUGCUUAAUAUCUGCAUGAAAAGCACUUGAUAACAUUGAACAUCCAUUUAUGAUAAAAACUCCGCAAACUAGAACUUCCUCAAUCUGAUAAAGGACAUCUACAAAAACCCUAUGGCUACCAUUAUACUUAAUGCUGGAAGAUUGAAUCUAUAAAUUGUGGUACGUCCCUACAAUGGAAUACUUCUCAUCAAUAAGAUGGAUGAAUCUCAAAAGCAUUACGGUGUCCCUCUCAGCCCCGUCUUAGGAAAAGCAAGGCCCCUUUCUAAGGGUGCCGUUGGGUGCGAGCGUCCAGUGCCAAUGGUUAUGAGCAGGUAUGUGGGAUAGUGGAGGUGGGACGUGUUUCACAUUACUGUACAAAGGCCUGUCUGGGUGUCUAAGAAAGUAAAAGGUGGGGGCUGUUUGGGUUAAAGGCAGGGUUUCUGCUUCCCGUUGUUUGGGUGAUUUAAAAGAACAUGCAUUCCUUUGUUUAUUCACUCAUCAACAAGUGCAUACCUACUAUGUGCCAGACAUUGCAAUAAGUGCUGGGACUGUGGAUCAAGGCAGACUUGGGCGCUGACCUCAGGCAUCUGACCGUCUCCUGGGUAGUGAGGGAUGUACAAAUAGAGGCAUGCAGAAAGUGCCAGGGGGCUAAGAGAGCGCUUGACAGGAGAGAAGAGGCAUUCUUUUUGCAGUGUGGCAGCUGUGAAGCACCCUUGAGGAAGUUCCAUUUAUGCUGAGGCCUGAAGUCUAAGGAGUGUUUGGCCUGCAAAGGAUGAGGGGAGAAUGUUCCGGGCAAAGGCCCUGCGUGAGGAUGGAACCUGGUUAGUUUGAGGAACUAAUGGAAGUACAGAGUGUGAGGAGAAGCACAGAAGUACAGAGUGAGGGAGGAUGUGGCACAAGAAUUUGGCAAGGUCAUGUGGCUUCAGAGGGAGGAGUCCUCAUUGGAUUCUGAGUGCAAGGGGAAGCUUGAAGCUGAAGGGUAGCAGGACGCGGUUUAGGCCUGUAAAAGCCCAGUCUGGCUGCUAGUGGAGAAAUGCCUGGAGGGCUCGGGGCUUGAGUGUGGAGGUACCAGGACUGGCUCCCAGCUGUCUGGCUGGAGCCCCUGAGUGAAUGGAUGCACUGUAUGCUCAGGUGGGAAAUAUCAGAGGGCAACUAUAUCUGGGCAUUAGAAUACUCAGAUUUUUCUUAUUGUGGUAAUAUAUGUCUUACCACAAUAAGAAAAAUCCGAGUAUCGGCAACCAUCAUUCUACUUUCUGUC